rnacentral:rRNA from 1 species
GGGGGCUAUUCUGUUGGUACGUCAAAACAGCAAGGUAUUAACUUACUGCCCUUCCUCCCAACUUAAAGUGCUUUACAAUCCGAAGACCUUCUUCACACACGCGGCAUGGCUGGAUCAGGCUUUCGCCCAUUGUCCAAUAUUCCCCACUGCUGCCUCCCGUAGGA